rnacentral:rRNA from 1 species
UAGGGAAUCUUCGGCAAUGGACGAAAGUCUGACCGAGCAACGCCGCGUGAGUGAAGAAGGUUUUCGGAUCGUAAAACUCUGUUGUUAGAGAAGAACAAGGACGUUAGUAACUGAACGUCCCCUGACGGUAUCUAACCAGAAAGCCACGGCUAACUACGUGCCAGCAGCCGCGGUAAUACGUAGGUGGCAAGCGUUGUCCGGAUUUAUUGGGCGUAAAGCGAGCGCAAGCGGUUUCUUAAGUCUGAUGUGAAAGCCCCCGGCUCAACCGGGGAGGGUCAUUGGAAACUGGGAGACUUGAGUGCAGAAGAGGAGAGUGGAAUUCCAUGUGUAGCGGUGAAAUGCGUAGAUAUAUGGAGGAACACAAGUGGAGAAGGCGGCUCUCUGGUCUGUAACUGACGCUGAGGCUCGAAAGCGUAGGGAGCAAACAGG